rnacentral:rRNA from 1 species
GUGCCAGCAGCUGCGGUAAUACGUAGGGUGCAAGCGUUAAUCGGAAUUACUGGGCGUAAAGCGUGCGCAGGCGGUUCGGAAAGAAAGAUGUGAAAUCCCAGGGCUUAACCUUGGAACUGCAUUUUUAACUACCGGGCUAGAGUGUGUCAGAGGGAGGUGGAAUUCCGCGUGUAGCAGUGAAAUGCGUAGAGAUGCGGAGGAACACCGAUGGCGAAGGCAGCCUCCUGGGAUAACACUGACGCUCAUGCACGAAAGCGUGGGAGCAAACAGGAUUAGAUACCCUGGUAGUCCACGCCCUAAACGAUGUCAACUAGCUGUUGGGCCUUCGGGCCUUGGUAGCGCAGCUAACGCGUGAAGUUGACCGCCGUGGGGAGUACGGUCGCGAAGAUUAAAACUCAAA